GAUUAGAUACCCCACUAUGCUUUGCCCUAAACAUUGAUAGUCUUAUACAACCACUAUCCGCCCGGGAACUACGAGCAACAGCUUAAAACCCAAAGGACUUGGCGGUGCUUUAGACCCACCUAGAGGAGCCUGUUCUAAAACCGAUAACCCCCGUUCAACCUCACCUUUUCUUGUUCUCUCCGCCUAUAUACCGCCGUCGUCAGCUUACCCUAUGAAGGCCCCUUAGUAAGCACAAUUAGUACAACCCAAAACGUCAGGUCGAGGUGUAGCGUAUGGAAAGGGAAGAAAUGGGCUACAUUCCCUAUUACAGGUAAUUACGGAUAAUAUUACUGAAACGUGUAUCUAGAAGGAGGAUUUAGCAGUAAGCAGAAAAUAGAGUGUUCUGCUGAAACCGGCCCUGAAGCGCGCACACACCGCCCGU
rnacentral:rRNA from 1 species